AUUGAACGCUGGCGGCAGGCUUAACACAUGCAAGUCGAGCGGAGAGAGGUAGCUUGCUACUGAUCUUAGCGGCGGACGGGUGAGUAAUGCUUAGGAAUCUGCCUAUUAGUGGGGGACAACAUUUCGAAAGGAAUGCUAAUACCGCAUACGUCCUACGGGAGAAAGCAGGGGAUCUUCGGACCUUGCGCUAAUAGAUGAGCCUAAGUCGGAUUAGCUAGUUGGUGGGGUAAAGGCCUACCAAGGCGACGAUCUGUAGCGGGUCUGAGAGGAUGAGCCGCCACACUGGGACUGGGACACGGCCCAGACUCCUACGGGAGGCAGCAGUGGGGAAUAUUGGACAAUGGGCGCAAGCCUGAUCCAGCCAUGCCGCGUGUGUGAAGAAGGCCUUAUGGUUGUAAAGCACUUUAAGCGAGGAGGAGGCUACUUUAGUUAAUACCUAGAGAUAGUGGACGUUACUCGCAGAAUAAGCACCGGCUAACUCUGUGCCAGCAGCCGCCGCCGUAA
rnacentral:rRNA from 1 species